UAUCAUGAACACCACCCUCAGGAACGAUCCCAAAUAGAGUACAUACAUAUAUUCCAUGAGGUGGAUAAUUUGCUUAUUACUCCACCCCUAUGCCCAGAAACACCUCUACAAACAACAGAUGCUCAACAAAAACUGUUGCGUGAAUAAUGCAAAGAAGAGACCAAUAAUGCUAAAAGAGACCAAUGGAUGGCAAGCUCUGUCUGCUGAUGGGACUCGUGAGGACAUGGAACAUUUUCCCUGUCACAGAAGCUAUCAUUCAUUAGAGAUGUAGCAGGCAAUAACUUUAAUGUCCACUGGAAUGGCUCUGUGGAAGCUGCCCUGCCAAAGAAAACAGGUGCUCGAUGGCUGUGGAACAAGUCUGAGCAGAGAAUCCAAGCUGAACACUGACACACGUGACCACCGUUCUCAGGGCUGCAGAGAUCAGACAGAUAAGAAUUGUGACUUACCGUUUCAAGAGGAGAGAGGUCCAUGAGCAACUCAGUAUCUGGGUCAGAACCACAGGAUGAAGCGAGGCGAGGGAUGGAUAGAUUCACCCUAUCCACAUGUCUGGACACUGGCUGUGUAGUGAUGGGCAGUUUGGUCAUUUGGUUAGAUACAGUGAAGCCACUGGCUGUGUAGUGAUGGGCAGUUUGGUCAUCUAGCUAGCUACAGUGAAGCCUGGACCACAGGAUGUUUGGAGGGCAUUCCUUGAGCCUAAAAGAAGGGGAAACAAAACUGGGAGACAGCUGGGUUAAGAUGCCCUGUGUACGAAACAACACAGUGGUUGGUUGUGAGCCACCAUGCCAGGACUGGGAGUUGAACUUGAUACCUCUGGAAGAGCACUCAGUGCUGGUAACUGCAGAGCCAUCUCUCCUGCCGCAUCAGAAAAAAGACUGGGACUCCUUCCUUAUGCUAGACAACCAAAGGAAAGAGAGCAUGACAGAAGGGCCACCAUUCAAGUCCAGACAUUGCUGUCUUCUGAACCCAGUCCACACUGCCCACCACUCAACCAUGAUCUACGUAAGCCAGUUGCAUAGAAGUAACUGAUGUCAGGAACAUCCUCCUCGUCCAUCUGGUUGACAAGCAUCAUUUAUAAUGGCACAGGUAUGUACAAGAAGACACUGAACAAUGUGGAGACCAGGAGGAAGUGGAUAUUAGCAAUCUCCAACAUAAACAUGAACUUUUCUCUGCCCGGGAGUAGCAGCCAGUGCUCCUUAGAGAGGUGUGGUAUCGCUCUGAUGAAGAACAAAGACAAGAAGAACAAAGACGGGAGCCUGGCAAAUACAAAUUACUUAUGUUUUACAAGAGA
rnacentral:lncRNA from 1 species